CAGAAUUGAGUUCCUGUACAGUAGGACUUUCCACUCAUGUCUGUGGUCUAGGAGGAGAUUGGGUUGGGCAAACACCAGGCACGAUGGAGCAACCAUUAACCCUGGAGUUGUGAAGACAGGACCACAAGCUGAGAGAGGGCAGCAAUGGAAACCCAGCCAAACUAUUAAUGGAAGGCUGGGUCCCAUUCUUUAUUAUCCUUCUGUGGUCUCGUCACCAGCAGGGUGAGCCAAAGCCGAGGGCAAGAACACGCUGGGUGACCUUCCACACCCCAAAUGCAAGAUCAAGUGCUGUGGAGAAGGAGGCCCAUGGAAGAACUCGCUAGUGGAAACUGUCAACAUUGACUAGCUAUCAUGAGCCAGGACUGAUGGGAUGACGUGAGCAGAGGACACCAUUAUUUUGUGCUUCAUCAAAGUUGCAAGCUUAAUAAGUGACAAAGUGGGGUCCAAAACCCAAUUGCAGCUAGCCUUUUUAUUUAUACUGCUUCUCGGGUGAAGAGUCACUGACUGGUAAUCUCUGGAAAAACAAACAAGUUUUCACAGACUAUUAGGAUCCCGGUGCAACAGAAGUGUUGAGAGAGCCCUUCUGCAAGGAACGAGAACCCAGCCAGGGCUCCACACUCCCGGAGAAGUUCUCUGUUCAGAACCACCCACUCUGUCAUCUGGGUCCUAUCAGUUCAUGCGGAUAGCUGCUGCCAUCACAAGGUGCCAGGCGCCAUGUUGGGCAUGUGGGUUACCUCAUUGAAUCUUCAAAUAGAUGCUGGUUUUGUCCCUCAGGAGAUGGAGGCUCCGAGAGGAUAGGAGACUUGUUCAAGAUUACUUGGCUCCUAAAGGAUGACAUUGGGCUUCAAUUUAAGUAGGAUUUCAAAGCU
rnacentral:lncRNA from 1 species